rnacentral:rRNA from 1 species
CUGGAAACGGUAGCUAAUACCGCAUAACGUCGCAAGACCAAAGAGGGGGACCUUCGGGCCUCUUGCCAUCGGAUGUGCCCAGAUGGGAUUAGCUAGUAGGUGGGGUAAAGGCUCACCUAGGCGACGAUCCCUAGCUGGUCUGAGAGGAUGACCAGCCACACUGGAACUGAGACACGGUCCAGACUCCUACGGGAGGCAGCAGUGGGGAAUAUUGCACAAUGGGCGCAAGCCUGAUGCAGCCAUGCCGCGUGUAUGAAGAAGGCCUUCGGGUUGUAAAGUACUUUCAGCGGGGAGGAAGGGAGUAAAGUUAAUACCUUUGCUCAUUGACGUUACCCGCAGAAGAAGCACCGGCUAACUCCGUGCCAGCAGCCGCGGUAAUACGGAGGGUGCAAGCGUUAAUCGGAAUUACUGGGCGUAAAGCGCACGCAGGCGGUUUGUUAAGUCAGAUGUGAA